UACAGAGGGUGCAAGCGUUGUUCGGAAUUAUUGGGCGUAAAGGGCGCGUAGGCGGUUUGGCAAGUCGGGUGUGAAAACUCCGGGCUCAACUCGGAGACGCCACUCGAUACUGCCAUGACUCGAGUCCGGUAGGGGAGUGCGGAAUUCCUGGUGUAGCGGUGAAAUGCGCAGAUAUCAGGAGGAACACCGGUGGCGAAGGCGGCACUCUGGGCCGGUACUGACGCUGAGGAGCGAAAGCGUGGGGAGCGAACAGG
rnacentral:rRNA from 1 species